ACGGGGCCCGGAUGUGACGCCACUGACUUGCGCAUUGGGGGGUCAGAGGACAGCGAGAUUCUCGCCCUGAGCAACGGCCUGACGUCGGCGGAGGCAAGCAGGCGCAGGCUCCGUGAGGAGGCAAGAUCUCAGGGAGUUGAGGACCUUUUCUUCAGAGGGUGACUCAGGUCAACACAGGGGCCCCCAUGUAGUCGACAGACACAGUGGUCCUAAGAUCUACCAAGCAUCCAGGUUCUGAGGAGACAGGCCGACAAGGAGGACUGGAGGCCCCGGAGCAGCACUAGCUCCUGCCCACAUUCCUACCUGCUGCCCUGACCAGAGUCAUCAUGCCACUUGAGCAGAGGAGUCAGCACUGCAAGCCUGAGGAAGGCCUUGAGGCCCAAGGAGAGGCCCUGGGCUUGGUGGGUGCGCAGGCUCCUGCUAUUGAGGAGCAGGAGACUGCCUCCUCCUCCUCUACUCUAGUGGAAGUCACCCUGGGGGAGGUCCCUGCUGCCGAGUCACCAAGUCCUCCCCACAGUCCUCAGGGAGCCUCCACCCUCCCCACUACCAUCAACUAUACUCUCUGGAGUCACUCCGAUGAGGGCUCCAGCAACGAAGAACAGGAGGGGCCAAGCACCUUUCCUGACCUGGAGACCAGCUUCCAAGUAGCACUCAGUAGGAAGAUGGCUGAGUUGGUUCAUUUUCUGCUCCUCAAGUAUCGAGCCAGGGAGCCAUUCACAAAGGCAGAAAUGCUGGGGAGUGUCAUCAGAAAUUUCCAGGACUUCUUUCCUGUGAUCUUCAGCAAAGCCUCCGAGUACUUGCAGCUGGUCUUUGGCAUCGAGGUGGUGGAAGUGGUCCGCAUCGGCCACUUGUACACCCUUGUCACCUGCCUGGGCCUCUCCUACGAUGGCCUGCUGGGCGACAAUCAGAUCGUGCCCAAGACAGGCCUCCUGAUAAUUGUCCUGGCCAUAAUCGCAAAAGAGGGCGACUGUGCCCCUGAGGAGAAAAUCUGGGAGGAGCUGAGUGUGUUGGAGGCAUCUGAUGGGAGGGAGGACAGUGUCUUUGCGCAUCCCAGGAAGCUGCUCACCCAAGAUUUGGUGCAGGAAAACUACCUGGAGUACCGGCAGGUCCCCGGCAGUGAUCCUGCAUGCUACGAGUUCCUGUGGGGUCCAAGGGCCCUCGUUGAAACCAGCUAUGUGAAAGUCCUGCACCAUUUGCUAAAGAUUAGUGGAGGACCUCACAUUUCCUACCCACCCCUGCAUGAAUGGGCUUUUAGAGAGGGGGAAGAGUGAGUCUGAGCACGAGUUGCAGCCACGGCCAGUGGGAGGGAGUCUGAGCCAGUGCACCUUCCAGGGCCCCAUCCAUUAGUUUCCAGUGCCUCGUGUGACAUGAGGCCCAUUCUUCACUCUUUGAAGAGAGCAGUCAGUAUUGUUAGUAGUGAGUUUCUGUUCUGUUGGAUGACUUUGAGAUUUAUCUUUGUUUCCUGUUGGAAUUGUUCAAAUGUUCCUUUUAAUGGAUGGUUGAAUGAACUUCAGCAUCCAAGUUUAUGAAUGACAGUAGUCACACAUAGUGCUGUUUAUAUAGUUUAGGAGUAAGAGUGUUGUUUUUUAUUCAGAUUGGGAAAUCCAUUCCAUUUUGUGAAUUGUGACAUAAUAACAGCAGUGGAAAAAGUAUGUGCUUAGAAUUGUGAAAGAAUUAGCAGUAAAAUACAUGAGAUAAAGACCUCAAGAAGUUAAAAGAUACUUAAUUCUUGCCUUAUACCUCACUCUAUUCUGUAAAUUUGAAAAAAAAAAAACAUGGAUACCUGGAUAUCCUUGGCUUCUUUGAGAAUUUAAGAGAAAUUAAAUCUGAAUAAAUAAUUCUUCCUGUUCACUGGCUCAUUUAUUUUCCAUUCACUCAGCAUCUGCUCUGUGGAAGGCUCUGCGUUAGUAGUGCGGAUGCUAAGAGGAAAGGCCAAGAACGGACAAAUUAAUAAAGGGCCAUCUACAAGCCAGGAAUAAGGCCAUCACCAGAAGACAACCCCGCCAGUCCUUGAUCUGGAAUUUCCACACUUCAAAACUGAAAAAAGAUAAAUUUCUGUUGUUUCAGCUACUCAGUCAAUGGCAUUUUGUUAUGGCAGCCUAAGCUAAGACAUAACCUCAGGUAACACAAUUUUUUUUUGUUUUGUCCUAGAAAAAAAAAGCAAUGUAAUUGUGACAUAUAAAGUCUGUGGUUCAUUUUGAGUUACAUUUUUGUAUGGUGCAAGAUAUGUGCAAUGGCUAGUAUUAUGUGUCAACUUGUCUAGGCUAUACUGCUCAGCUGUGUGGUCAAACAGUAGUCUAGAUGUUGCUGUGAAGGUAUUUUGUAGAUGUGAUCAACAUUUACCAUCAGUUGACUUUAAGUAAAGCAGUUUAACUUCCAUAAUGUGGAUGGGCCUUAUCCAAUUAGUUGAAGGUGUUAAGAGAAAAGACCAAGGUUUCCUGGAAAAGGAAUUCUACCACAAGACUAACAUAAAAAUGCGCUGUGAGUUUCUAGCCUGCUGACCUGCCUUCACUGUCCUGGGGGAGGCAUGGAGAGACCAGGUGGACUGGAGUAGACUGUUGAGAGACACUGGUCUGGUGAAGAUGUCCAGGAAACCACGAGCCUCCAGCCCAUUGUCCAACAACCACCCACCAACACCAAAGAGGCGAGGAAGUGGAAGGCAUCCUCUCAACCCUGGCCCAGAAGCCCUAUCAAAGUGAACGGCCCACCCAAGCUCUGACUCCUACCCUGUCCUCCCCUGGCACAACCCCCACCCCAGCCUGCACCAUUUCUCUAUGAAGCCCCUGUUCUCACCCCUCCUCCAUCCUCUUCCCCAAACCAGUGCCCUUCUUUGAUCUCCCGGUUGGUUUUCCAGGUUGCCAAGACAACCCGGAAGGGAACAGGGACCCGUCAAGGAAGUUCCAGGAACAAAAGGCUCUCCCUAAAAGACCACCGCUUCAAAAAAACCUCAGGAAUGGAGUGGGCCAACACUAUCCAGCCACUCCGACCAGCCAAAUGAGGAACUCAAUCAAAAUGAGCCACAGUAGGACCACAAGGGCAAGGAGACCACCACCUUCUACAGUCUCUCUUUGGGCAGCCAGUAAUUCCCGGGCAAGGCCAGAAACAUCAAGUCUAUCUGAAAAGUCUCCAGAGGUCUAACCCCAGAUAAGUAGCCAACAGGGUGUAGAGUACAUUUUACACCCCAAAGGGUAUGCCCUAUGGUGACGAAAAUAAAAUGAACAUGUUGCAAAA